rnacentral:lncRNA from 1 species
AACCACUCUCCCUACUAUCAAGGGCCGAACAUGGGAAGGAAGAUUGGUUGCUAUUUUUAGCAAAUGUAAGCCCUCACAAAAAUAUCAUAAUCUAUUCUCUGUUUUCAAUAUUUCUCAAUGGCAUCUCUUGUAAAUCCCUCUUCUCUUCUUCUACUCAUCAACAGCCUUCCAACACCAUCAACUCAUCCUCAUCGAGUUCUCUAAGUUGCUGCACCCAAGCAGCAGCAAUGAGCACAAGGAAACCAUAAUGUGAAAUUAAAAGAAAACACAAACCAGUCACCAAGGAUUAAAAGAUUAUUAAACUUACAAUAUUGAUUUUUUUCAAGGUAAGGUGAGAUCACUGAGAAAAAAGGAUUUUAUGGAGAUGAAAAUAAUAUUUAGUGAUAUAAUUGUUAAAUAAAAGCAAGAAAAAGGUUUAACUAGGUAAUAUUUAUUCGUGGAGUUUUUAGGACUAUAUUAAAUAUUAAUUUUUUAAAAAAUAUAAAAGGAUUUUCUUUUUAUUUAAAUUAAUUUUAAAAUUUUUAAAAAUCUGAAUAAUAAUGACGUGGCUUUAAAAGAAAAAAGAUUAAAAGUUCCCAUUUAGGUAAUAAAGAUUUGAAAUAAAUCUAAAAAUCUAAUUUCAUAAUUUAAGUUCUAGCAACCUAAAGAGAAUCCUAAUAUCUAACUAAAAUGAAUGAGAACUUAUAAUUCUAAUUAAAUAUAAAAUAUAGAAACCUAAAAGAAACUUAAAAUAUCUUAAGUCAAUCCUAAAAUUUCUAAGGACUAACUACUAGAUAAAAUAGAUCCAAAAUCUUAUAACAUAAAUUUAAGCCUAACCUAUGUCCUAAAAACAUCAACAAUCAUCAUACUAGGAAUAUAUAUAUAUAUGUAUAUAAGAGCAAUAAUCAAGUAAAUUUAAUUCAACAUACCAAUAUCAUGAUAAUAAAAUAUGCAUGGUAAAUUCUGUAAAAAGAAUAAAUAAAAUGAAAUGAGACCCUAAAAACCCAAAUUAAAACAAAGGUAAUGUUUGGAUUAAUGGAAUAAACAAAAUGAAUAAGGAAAAGUACUAUGGAAACAAGAUAAAAAUAAAUGAAAGGAAAGUAAUAAAUAAAAUGAAAUAUGACUAAAGAUAAAUCUUUUUUUCCUUAAAUUAGGGAAAUGUCGAAACGGAGGGACUAAAGGAGCAAUUAAUUUGCUCACAUUUUUUAAAAUCAAGAUUAAAUUGUAUCGACUUUCAAAAACAAAAAGGCAGAAGCCCUAAAAGGGUAAACUCAGGCACGUGAGGGACUGGGCUGCAAACUUUUCAUCCCCCACUAUAUAAGUCAAAAAAUAAGAAAAGAACCUUUUGAUUUUCAUUUUUCUGAAAUUUAGUUUUAUACUCCCGUUUCCUCUUUUUUGUCUCUCGGGCAGCUCCGCCGCUGGAGAAUCCAAGGUUCUUCGGUUUCCAGCGGCGGAGCACCACACGUUGUGAUCGGAGACUAAAAAACUUAUUGUUUUUUUUCUUCUUCAUUUUUGUUUUUCUUCGUUUCUGGGUUUCAAACUAGAAAAGCCUCGUAGGGGAAAAUGGAAAAAAGAACUUGAAAAUUUUCCCUUUUUUUCGAUAAGGGUUCUCCGUUCCAGAUCUACGAAAUAAAAAAAGGGGGAAAAAGGAAAGGAAAGGAAGCUGGAAGGAAUAAACGCAUGGAUUCACCAAACAGUCUUAGAACCGAGGACUUAGUUCGGUGAAAGCCCUUCAUCGGAGCUCACCACCAUUUGUUUAUGCAUGCACGUGAAAGUAAACGGCAGUGGAGCAAGGCCGAGGGUCUACCUUUAACGGCGUGUUCAGGGGCUUCUCUUUUUUCAAGGGCUUUUUUUUUUUUUGUUUUUUCUUGCAGGUUAUUCCGCUUUUUAAUACUCGUAUUAUUGUUAAUCUCCCAUAUGCUUCUUUGUGUUUGUGGUUCUUUCAUUGUUUUACCCUUCUUGCUUGUAUUCACACCUGCGACACUAAUGUGGGCGUUUGGGCUCCGUUGCUGGGUUGGGUCAGACCCAAAUUUAACUUAAUUGGACUCUGAUCCUAAUUUAGGCUUGACUAGUAAAGUGGACCUGAAAUCAAAUUUUAGGCCUUUAAACAAACGGGCCUUUGAAUUCUUCUCAUUUUUUAUAAAAAGAAAGAAUUUGGACUCUUCAGUGAUAAACCAAUUUGGAAGUUGAUUGAGCCUUGAAGUGGGUUAAAAAUUUAUCAGCAAGCUCAAUUAGAUUCAAAUAUGGGCUUGUAAAACUGAUUUGGAUUCACAGUAAGUUUUAAAUCAACCGGGCUCAAAUCUUUGGGUUUUUUUACUUAACACAUUUCAAUAUUAAGCCCAAUAAUAAUAAUAAUAAUGGCUUGAAAAU